AGGUAGUCAAGAUGAGAAUUCUAAGGUGAGCGAGCGAACUCUCGUUAAGGAACUCGGCAAAAUGACCCCGUAACUUCGGGAGAAGGGGUGCUCUUUAGGGUUAACGCCCAGAAGAGCCGCAGUGAAUAGGCCCAAGCGACUGUUUAUCAAAAACACAGGUCUCUGCUAAACCGUAAGGUGAUGUAUAGGGGCUGACGCCUGCCCGGUGCUGGAAGGUUAAGAGGAGUGGUUAGCUUCUGCGAAGCUACGAAUCGAAGCCCCAGUAAACGGCGGCCGUAACUAUAACGGUCCUAAGGUAGCGAAAUUCCUUGUCGGGUAAGUUCCGACCCGCACGAAAGGCGUAACGAUUUGGGCACUGUCUCAACGAGAGACUCGGUGAAAUCAUAGUACCUGUGAAGAUGCAGGUUACCCGCGACAGGACGGAAAGACCCCGUGGAGCUUUACUGUAGCCUGAUAUUGAAAUUCGGCACAGCUUGUACAGGAUAGGUAGGAGCCUUUGAA
rnacentral:rRNA from 1 species